rnacentral:rRNA from 1 species
GACGAACGCUGGCGGCGUGCUUAACACAUGCAAGUCGAACGAUGAAGAAAAGAAUCGAAGCUUCGGCAGAAAUUCAUUUCGGAUUAGUGGCAGACGGGUGAGUAACGCGUGAGCAACCUACCUCUUACAAAGGGAUAGCCUCGGGAAACCGGGAUUAAUACCAUAUAACAUUGCGACGAAGCAUUUCGAUGCAAUCAAAGCUACGGCGGUAAGAGAUGGGCUCGCGUCCCAUUAACCGGAUGGUGAGGUAACGGCUCACCAUAGUGACGAUGGGUAACCGGGCUGAGAGGGUGAACGGUCACACUGGAACUGAGACACGGUCAAGACUCCUACGGGAGGCAGCAGUGGGGAAUAUUGCACAAUGGAGGGAACUCUGAUGCAGCGACGCCGCGUGAGUGAUGAAGGAAUUCGUUUCGUAAAACUCUGUUCUAUGGGAAGAAAAGGACUGUACCAUAGGAGAAAGCUCCGGCUAAAUACGUG